CGACUUUAUGUCCAUGUGUGUGCGGUAGCAAAUGCAUCAUCCUGCAGUCUUACGAGUAUAGUCUCUGUCUUUUGCAAUUUAGCCUCUUCCAAGAUUAGAAUUGGUUAUUAUAUACGUUGGGAGAUGUCUGUAGGUUGGACACCUGCAGUCAUGGAUGCGUAGUCUCCUCAGGCGUAUAGCUUGUGAAGGAAGUGAAUUGCUUUAUCUCACUUGAGAGUUUGCACCGGCUUCUCAAAAGCUCAAGUGUAUAUCGUGAUAAACUACUAUCUCUGGAAAAAUUAUAUAUUGUGGAGCACAAAGUCAACGUCGUGUCAAGAGUUUACUCAAUUUUAAGAGUUUGUAUGUCGUGUUAAAGAGUUUACUCAAUUUUAAAAUACUAAAAAUAUUCUUCAUGUUGGGCUGUGCUGACACGGGUCAUACCCCCUAGUCUUGACAUAUUUAAGGUGAUGAGUUUUAAAGACAUUUAGAUAUGUGCCAAAUUUUGUUUUUUCAUAAAUAGUCUUUGACUGGAUAUUGGUAUAUUAAAUAUUCUUUUUUGAGCUCGUUACAAAAGA